rnacentral:rRNA from 1 species
UACAGAGGGUGCGAGCGUUAAUCGGAAUUACUGGGCAUAAAGCGUGCGUAGACGGUUAUUUAAGUCGGGUGUGAAAGCCCCGGGCUCAACCUGGGAAUUGCAUUCGAGACUGGAUAGCUAGAGUUCGGCAGAGGGAAGCGGAAUUUCGGGUGUAGCGGUGAAAUGCGUAGAUAUCGGAAGGAACAUCAGUGGCGAAGGCGACUUCCUGGACCAAUACUGACGCUCAGGUGCGAAAGCGUGGGGAGCAAACAGG